UGGUGGAGUGAUUUGUCUGGUUAAUUCCGUUAACGAACGAGACCUUAAGAUGCUAAAUAGUAACGUUCACUUUGGUGGACGGUGACUUCUUAGAUCGACAUUUAGUGUUUAGCUGAGGGAAGUUUGAGGCAAUAACA
rnacentral:rRNA from 1 species